UGUGUUUUCUUUUCAUCUUGUGUUUUCCAGGAGCUGGUGCUGGGGAAGGCACUAAUGAUGGUGAGGGGGCUGGUGGUGGAAUAGCUGGUGCUGGCACAGGUGCCGGUGGUGGUGUUGCUGGUGCGGGUGCAGGUACUUCCUUAGCUGGAGCUGGUGCUGGUGGUGGUGUUGCUGGAGCUGGUGCUGGAGACACUUGUGGUGGCGGUGUAGCUGGUGGUGGUAUUGGAGUGGCAGCUGGAGAACUUUGUGGUGGUUGUGGUGGUGGAACUACUGGGGUGGUAGCUGGUGCGACUUUAGGAGAUGGUGAUGAUAUAGGAGUGGUUGCAGUUGGGGGUGUCACUGCACUUGCUGGUGAUUGUGUUGGAGUGGUUGGUGUG
rnacentral:lncRNA from 1 species